CGCCAAACUAACGUGAGAUUAUGACCGCGCGUGAACAUCUCAGAAGCAUGUCCGAUCUGCGGCUCUCAAUUCCAUUUCAUUGUUUUAGCGAAUGAGCUGGAUCUCUCGCUAGAUGGAUACAACAUCUAGUUAGCUUUGGAACAAAGUCAACAAAACCAGGAAAAAGAAUAAGAGGCAGACAGAGAAAGCUAUAGGAAGACAAUAUUAAAAAAUGGACAGACAAAAGCCAGAGAGGAAUGGAGAAAGACAGUCAGCAGAUCUUGUGUGGUACACCAGCGGUUUAACAGACUAAGGGAUCUGGGAAGCUGACAGUGCCAGGCGGGAGAAUCGAGGCGGACAAACAUAUAUGGAUGAAAUCACGAAUUAGACAGAGACAAAUCCUCAACAAGCACAGCAGUAGAGAGCAGGGGAUGUUUUGAAGUUCCGCAAGAAUCAACAUUGUCAUCCACUAGACCCUUCCAAGUGGAUGACGAGAUAGAUUCUAGAAGAAGAAAAUUAACUGUUAGUGCACUGACAUUUAGAUUUCAGGUAAUACAAAUUGAAUAGAUCAAGUAGGCCUACAACUAUUUUGAGAUAAACAAUUUAUCACACUGUGUUUUCUGUUACUAUCUGCUCUGGU